GAUAUAAUAUUAAAGGGCUGCAGUAUUUUGACUGUACAAAGGUAGCAUAAUCAUUAGUCUUUUAAUUGAAGACUUGUAUGAAUGAUUGGAUGAAAUAUAAACUGUCUCUAAUAUUAUUAGUUAGAAUUUAAUUUUUUUAUUAAAAAGUAAAAAUAAAUUUAAAAGACGAGAAGACCCUAUAGAGUUUUAUAAUUAAUUUAAUUGAAAUUAUUUAUAAAGAUAAUUUUAAAUUAAUAAAUUAAAAUUAAGUUAAUUAUUUUGUUGGGGUGAUAAAAAAAUAAAAAUAACUUUUUUUAAUAAAUAUAUAUAUAUAUAUAUAUAUAUAUAUAUUGUAAACAAAAAUAAAUGAUUUUUUGAUCCAGAAUUUUUGAUUAUAAGAAAAAAUUACCUUAGGGAUAACAGCGUAAUUUUUUUUUUUAGUUCAAAUAAGAAAAAGAGUUUGCGACCUCGAUGUUGGAUUAAGGAAAAAUUUAAAUGCAAAAGUUUAAAAUUUUG
rnacentral:rRNA from 1 species